rnacentral:rRNA from 1 species
GUGUCAGCCGCCGCGGUAAUACGUAGGGGGCGAGCGUUGUCCGGAAUGACUGGGCGUAAAGGGUACGUAGGCGGCUGAGUAAGUCAGGUGUGAAAGUCUAGGGCUCAACCCUAGUGAGCACUUGAAACUGCUUGGCUUGAGUCGAGGAGAGGAAGGUGGAAUUCCUGGUGUAGCGGUGAAAUGCGUAGAUAUCAGGAGGAAUACCAGUGGCGAAGGCGACCUUCUGGCCUUGGACUGACGCUGAGGUACGAAAGCGUGGGGAGCAAACAGGAUUAGAUACCCUGGUAGUCCACGCCGUAAACGAUGAGUGCUAGGUGUCGGGGGAGAUAUCCUUCGGUGCCGAAGUUAACACAUUAAGCACUCCGCCUGGGGAGUACGGUCGCAAGACUGAAACUCAAAUAAAUUGACGG